rnacentral:rRNA from 1 species
UUAAGCGACUAAGCGUACACGGUGGAUGCCCUGGCAGUCAGAGGCGAUGAAGGACGUGCUAAUCUGCGAUAAGCGUCGGUAAGGUGAUAUGAACCGUUAUAACCGGCGAUUUCCGAAUGGGGAAACCCAGUGUGUUUCGACACACUAUCAUUAACUGAAUCCAUAGGUUAAUGAGGCGAACCGGGGGAACUGAAACAUCUAAGUACCCCGAGGAAAAGAAAUCAACCGAGAUUCCCCCAGUAGCGGCGAGCGAACGGGGAGCAGCCCAGAGCCUGAAUCAGUGUGUGUGUUAGUGGAAGCGUCUGGAAAGGCGCGCGAUACAGGGUGACAGCCCCGUACACAAAAAUGCACAUGCUGUGAGCUCGAUGAGUAGGGCGGGACACGUGGUAUCCUGUCUGAAUAUGGGGGGACCAUCCUCCAAGGCUAAAUACUCCUGACUGACCGAUAGUGAACCAGUACCGUGAGGGAAAGGCGAAAAGAACCCCGGCGAGGGGAGUGAAAAAGAACCUGAAACCGUGUACGUACAAGCAGUGGGAGCACGCUUAGGCGUGUGACUGCGUACCUUUUGUAUAAUGGGUCAGCGACUUAUAUUCUGUAGCAAGGUUAACCGAAUAGGGGAGCCGAAGGGAAACCGAGUCUUAACUGGGCGUUAAGUUGCAGGGUAUAGACCCGAAACCCGGUGAUCUAGCCAUGGGCAGGUUGAAGGUUGGGUAACACUAACUGGAGGACCGAACCGACUAAUGUUGAAAAAUUAGCGGAUGACUUGUGGCUGGGGGUGAAAGGCCAAUCAAACCGGGAGAUAGCUGGUUCUCCCCGAAAGCUAUUUAGGUAGCGCCUCGUGAAUUCAUCUCCGGGGGUAGAGCACUGUUUCGGCAAGGGGGUCAUCCCGACUUACCAACCCGAUGCAAACUGCGAAUACCGGAGAAUGUUAUCACGGGAGACACACGGCGGGUGCUAACGUCCGUCGUGAAGAGGGAAACAACCCAGACCGCCAGCUAAGGUCCCAAAGUCAUGGUUAAGUGGGAAACGAUGUGGGAAGGCCCAGACAGCCAGGAUGUUGGCUUAGAAGCAGCCAUCAUUUAAAGAAAGCGUAAUAGCUCACUGGUCGAGUCGGCCUGCGCGGAAGAUGUAACGGGGCUAAACCAUGCACCGAAGCUGCGGCAGCGACGCUGAUGCGUUGUUGGGUAGGGGAGCGUUCUGUAAGCCUGCGAAGGUGUGCUGUAAGGCAUGCUGGAGGUAUCAGAAGUGCGAAUGCUGACAUAAGUAACGAUAAAGCGGGUGAAAAGCCCGCUCGCCGGAAGACCAAGGGUUCCUGUCCAACGUUAAUCGGGGCAGGGUGAGUCGACCCCUAAGGCGAGGCCGAAAGGCGUAGUCGAUGGGAAACAGGUUAAUAUUCCUGUACUUGGUGUUACUGCGAAGGGGGGACGGAGAAGGCUAUGUUGGCCGGGCGACGGUUGUCCCGGUUUAAGCGUGUAGGCUGGUUUUCCAGGCAAAUCCGGAAAAUCAAGGCUGAGGCGUGAUGACGAGGCACUACGGUGCUGAAGCAACAAAUGCCCUGCUUCCAGGAAAAGCCUCUAAGCAUCAGGUAACAUCAAAUCGUACCCCAAACCGACACAGGUGGUCAGGUAGAGAAUACCAAGGCGCUUGAGAGAACUCGGGUGAAGGAACUAGGCAAAAUGGUGCCGUAACUUCGGGAGAAGGCACGCUGAUAUGUAGGUGAAGUCCCUCGCGGAUGGAGCUGAAAUCAGUCGAAGAUACCAGCUGGCUGCAACUGUUUAUUAAAAACACAGCACUGUGCAAACACGAAAGUGGACGUAUACGGUGUGACGCCUGCCCGGUGCCGGAAGGUUAAUUGAUGGGGUUAGCCGCAAGGCGAAGCUCUUGAUCGAAGCCCCGGUAAACGGCGGCCGUAACUAUAACGGUCCUAAGGUAGCGAAAUUCCUUGUCGGGUAAGUUCCGACCUGCACGAAUGGCGUAAUGAUGGCCAGGCUGUCUCCACCCGAGACUCAGUGAAAUUGAACUCGCUGUGAAGAUGCAGUGUACCCGCGGCAAGACGGAAAGACCCCGUGAACCUUUACUAUAGCUUGACACUGAACAUUGAGCCUUGAUGUGUAGGAUAGGUGGGAGGCUUUGAAGUGUGGACGCCAGUCUGCAUGGAGCCGACCUUGAAAUACCACCCUUUAAUGUUUGAUGUUCUAACGUUGACCCGUAAUCCGGGUUGCGGACAGUGUCUGGUGGGUAGUUUGACUGGGGCGGUCUCCUCCUAAAGAGUAACGGAGGAGCACGAAGGUUGGCUAAUCCUGGUCGGACAUCAGGAGGUUAGUGCAAUGGCAUAAGCCAGCUUGACUGCGAGCGUGACGGCGCGAGCAGGUGCGAAAGCAGGUCAUAGUGAUCCGGUGGUUCUGAAUGGAAGGGCCAUCGCUCAACGGAUAAAAGGUACUCCGGGGAUAACAGGCUGAUACCGCCCAAGAGUUCAUAUCGACGGCGGUGUUUGGCACCUCGAUGUCGGCUCAUCACAUCCUGGGGCUGAAGUAGGUCCCAAGGGUAUGGCUGUUCGCCAUUUAAAGUGGUACGCGAGCUGGGUUUAGAACGUCGUGAGACAGUUCGGUCCCUAUCUGCCGUGGGCGCUGGAGAACUGAGGGGGGCUGCUCCUAGUACGAGAGGACCGGAGUGGACGCAUCACUGGUGUUCGGGUUGUCAUGCCAAUGGCACUGCCCGGUAGCUAAAUGCGGAAGAGAUAAGUGCUGAAAGCAUCUAAGCACGAAACUUGCCCCGAGAUGAGUUCUCCCUGACUCCUUGAGAGUCCUGAAGGAACGUUGAAGACGACGACGUUGAUAGGCCGGGUGUGUAAGCGCAGCGAUGCGUUGAGCUAACCGGUACUAAUGAACCGUGAGGCUUAACCUU